rnacentral:sRNA from 1 species
UGAGUUUAAAACCCCCUACCAAAGGGUUUUAAGUUUAAAACCCCUACCAGGGGUUUUGAGUUUAAAACCCCCUACCAGGGGGGUUUUUGAGU